UACGCAGGGUGCGAGCGUUGUCCGGAAUUAUUGGGCGUAAAGAGCUCGUAGGCGGUGUGUCACGUCGGCCGUGAAAACCUGCAGCUUAACUGUGGGCGUGCGGUCGAUACGGGCAUCACUGGAGUUCGGCAGGGGAGACUGGAAUUCCUGGUGUAGCGGUGAAAUGCGCAGAUAUCAGGAGGAACACCGGUGGCGAAGGCGGGUCUCUGGUCAACAACUGACGCUGAGGAGCGAAAGCGUGGGGAGCGAACAGG
rnacentral:rRNA from 1 species